rnacentral:lncRNA from 1 species
AGCCAGCACAGACAGCAAUUCUGGGCCUAGCUGAGGACCCUGAGGGCAGAGGUGAGGUCCCGCCUUCCCACGCUGUCAGCAGGCGUCACGGUGGAAACUAGCUGAGGACCCUGAGGGCAGAGGUGAGGUCCCGCCUUCCCACGCUGUCAGCAGGCGUCACAUCACGGUGGAAACUAGCUGAAGACCCUGAGGGCAGAGAUGAAGUCCCGCCUUCCCACGCUGUCAGCAGGCGUCACAGUGGAACAGUGAUGCUUUCAGACAUGCAAGUCUCAACAUUGUUCUCCGUCACAUACUCCUCAAAUCUCCACUAGAAGAUAUGUUCCAUUAAAAUAAAAAAAAUCCAAAAAAGAAUAUGACACAAAAUCCAUGAAGGAGGGGAUCCAAUAUGAGAGAGACAGAGGGACCAGAGGGACCUCCAGGAUGAUCCUGACUCGAGAUCCCAAGAUGCCAGCUGUGCUGCCAACAUAAGGAUUAUAUAGUCGAGAUUAGCACAGGCCAGAAAUGUCCAGAAGAGAUUUCCUCAAGAUGAAAUGGAUAGAAUACCUCAGGUGUCAAAGCCCACAGAAUGUAGAACACCCAGAGUGAACCCUAAUGUGAACAUGGACUUCGGAUGAUGAUGUCGGUUCAUCGAAACACCCAGAGUGAACCCUAAUGUGAACAUGGACUUCGGAUGAUGAUGUCGGUUCAUUGAAAACACCCAGAGUGAACCCUAAUGUGAACAUGGACUUUGGAUGAUGAUGUGGGUUCAUCGAUUGUACCAAAAAUGCCUCUGUGGUACAGGAUGCUGACGGUGCGGAAGGCCACGAGUGUGUGGAGCAGGGGUAUAUGGGAACUCUCUGUACCUUCCACUUAAAUUUGUUGUGAACCUAAAAUUGCUCUAAAAAAUAAAGUCUAUUAAUAAUAAUAAAAAAGAAACCUCAAAAUAACACCAAAAACCCCUCAACAACAACAACAAAAAACCUAGUUUGGUAGUUCCUAAAAAAGCUAAACAUAGAAUUGCCAUAUGAUACAGCAAUUCUACUGCUGAGUAGACUGAAAAUAGGGACUCAGACAGAUACGCGGAAGCCAGUGUUCGCUGCAGCAAGACUCCAAUAGCCAAGAGGUGGACACAAACGACCUAAGUGUCCAUCAACUGAUUCAAAACGUGACAGAUCCAUACAAUGGAGUGUUAUUGAGACAUAAAGGAACACCGUAAGGAAUACUGUUCUGAUACAUGGCACAAUGUGGAUGAACCCUGAGAAUGCCACGCUAAGUAAAAGGAGUCAGGUACAAAAGGACAAACAUGGUAUGAUUCUACUUAUAAGGACUAUCUAGAUUAGGCAAAUCCACAGAGAGAGGACGUAGAAUAGAGGCUGUCAGGGCUGGGGGAGGAGGAAGAGGGAGGGAUUGUUUAGUGAGUACAGAGUUUCUGAGACGCUCGGUGGCAAUGUGCAUGACAACGUGAAUGUAUUUAGUGCCACUUAACUAUACACGUAAAAACAGUUAAAAUGGAAAUGUUUAUGUUAUAUAUAUUUUGCCACAAUUUUAAGAAAAAAAAGCCCAGUGAUCCCUCCCUUUCUCCUUUCCCCUUCCUCAAAAGCAAUUACGUCUAAAGCCGUUAAGUGAGGCAAGGUAGGUGAUCUGUUUGGAGGGGUGGGGGAGGUGUGUGACCGGGAGGUCACGCAGAGUUGGCCGGGUGACGAGGGUAAUGGGAGUGGGAGAAAGUGGACGGGAUGUGGAUAGAUCAGAUGAGUAAACAUGCUGAGAUGACAGCAGCUGGACUUCUCACUGUUGGUGAAGGAAGUACAUAUGUGAAAAGGUGGAAAACUAAAAUAAAUGCUUUGGUAUCAGACAAGGUCUCCAACCGAUGGAAUCAAACCAACCUUACUGAUGCAAACUCAUGAUUACUUACACACACACACACGCACUCACAGGAGAGUGUACUGAUACAUAUACAUACAUUUCCUACCUUACUAAGAGGGCCUGAUGAGCUGGUAUUCCCAAUU